rnacentral:misc_RNA from 1 species
UUUCCGUAGGUGAACCUGCGGAAGGAUCAUUAUCGAGUUUUGACUGGGUUGUAGCUGUCCUUCCGGGGCGUGUGCACGCCCUGCUCAUCCACUCUACACCUGUGCACUUACUGUGGGUAUCAGCUCGUGAAGCGUGCUCUUUUACCGGAGCUUGUGAAGCGUGUCUGUGUCUGCGUUUAUCACACACACUAUAAAGUAUCAGAAUGUGUAUUACGAUGUAACGCAUCUAUAUACAACUUUCAGCAACGGAUCUCUUGGCUCUC